AGUGAACGCUGGCGGUAGGCCUAACACAUGCAAGUCGAACGGCAGCACAGGAGAGCUUGCUCUCUGGGUGGCGAGUGGCGGACGGGUGAGGAAUACAUCGGAAUCUACCUUUUCGUGGGGGAUAACGUAGGGAAACUUACGCUAAUACCGCAUACGACCUACGGGUGAAAGUGGGGGACCGCAAGGCCUCACGCGAUUAGAUGAGCCGAUGUCCGAUUAGCUAGUUGGCGGGGUAAUGGCCCACCAAGGCGACGAUCGGUAGCUGGUCUGAGAGGAUGAUCAGCCACACUGGAACUGAGACACGGUCCAGACUCCUACGGGAGUCAGCAGUGGGGAAUAUUGGACAAUGGGCGCAAGCCUGAUCCAGCCAUACCGCGUGGGUGAAGAAGGCCUUCGGGUUGUAAAGCCCUUUUGUUGGGAAAGAAAUCCUAUCGGUUAAUAACCGGUGGGGAUGACGGUACCCAAAGAAUAAGCACCGGCUAACUUCGUGCCAGCCGCCGCCGUAAAAC
rnacentral:rRNA from 1 species